rnacentral:lncRNA from 1 species
GCUAGACUGGUGACUGGGAGCGGACGCCGAGACCAUAUAACACCGGUCUUGAAAGACCUACAUUGGCUCCCAGUACGUUUCCGAGCACAAUUCAAAGUGUUGGUGUUGACCUUUAAAGCCCUAAAUGGCCUCAGCCCAGUAUGCUUGAAGGAGUGUCUCCACCUCCAUCGUUUUGCCAGGACACUGAGGUCCAGCUCUGAGGCCCUUCUGGCGGUUCCCUCACUGCGAGAAGCUAAGCUACAGGGAACCAGACAGAGGGCCUUCUCGGUAGUGGCGCCCACCCUGUGGAACGCCUUCCUAUCAGAUGUCAAAGAGAUAAACAACUACCUGACAUUUAGAAGACAUCUGAAGGCAGCCCUGUUCAGGGAAGUUUUUAAUGUGUGACAUUUUAAUGUAUUUUUAAUCUUUGUUGGAAGCCGCCCAGAGUGGCUGGGAAAGCCAGCCAGAUGGGCGGGGUACAAAUAACAAAUUACUAUUACUAUUACCCGCACUUUGAGAACUGCCUACUUAGAAGGUGGGCUGCGUAUUUUACUUGAAAAAUUUUCUUCCAGAAGGGCUAUUGCAUCACUAUAAUACAUCCCAGGUUUCUAAAGAUACUUCAACAGGGAGUAUUUUUCCUCUCCUUACAGUAUAGCAAUCCCAUAACAAAAAAAUGUCUUGGUUAAUUAGGACAGGCAGAAAAUGGCAGAAGAGCGAAGGAGUUCCUUUCGACUUCCUGGAGGCUUCCUUGGAGUGCAGAAGAAAAAGGAAGACUCGGCUGGCCCUGAAGCAGGAAGAGGCUACGAUGCCAUCAAGACUGAGAGCCGUGGGAGAUUCUGGGAAAAGUCAGUGCAGAAAGUCCCGAGUGAGAAAAUCACUCUCGGCUCAAAUGUGCAGAGCCAGCAGUUCAGGCAGUUCUGCUACCAGGAGGCCAAAGGACCCCGAGAGGUUUGUAGCCAACUCCACCAUCUUUGCUGUCAGUGGCUGAAGCCAGAUCGACACACAAAGAAGGAGAUCCUAGACCUGGUGAUUCUGGAGCAGUUCCUGGCUGUCCUUCCACCGGAGAUGGAGAGCUGGGUGAGAGGCUGUGGAGCAGACACUUGUUCCCAGGCUGUGGCCCUGGCUGAAGGUUUCCUCCUGAGCCAGGCAGACAAGAAGCAGGAGGAGGCACAGGUGAGUGUUCCAUCUAGAUAGUCCCCAGGGGGUUCAGAACAUGAGGGAGGGUAUCUUAAAACUCUGCUAUUUGCCCAACUUUUUCAGUAAAGCAUCCAAGGAAAGAUGGCCAGAUCCCAUUAGGACAUGGGUAGGCACCUAAGGCCCAGGGGCCGGAUCCGGCCCAAUCACCUUCUAAAUCCGGCCCACAGACGGUUCGGGAAUCAGUGUGCUUUUACAUGAGUAGAAUAUGUCCUUUUAUUUAAAAUGCAUCCCUGGGUUAUUUGUGAGGCAUAGGAAUUUCUUCAUCCCCCCCCCAAAAAAAAAAUAAAGUCUGCCCCCCCACAAGAUCUGAGGGACAGUGGACCAGCCCCCUGCUGAAAAAGUUUGCUGACCUCUGCAUUAGGAUUUUGCUCCUGUCAUUCCUUCUCCCCAUUCCUUGUUUUGAUUCUUCAUUACUGUUUCAGAGACGGAAUCAGUUUGCGGAAAGGAGCACGGUUUUUCCUAAGAUGGUUCCAUUUGGUACCAAACAGAGUCCACUUGGUAAGGAUGAAUGGGAUGUAUAUCAGUUCGGUCUCCCUCUGUUGAGUGCAAAAUAAACCUAGGAGCUGCUUUAAUAUUUGGAACAAAAGACACCUCUCUAGCUUUUUCCACUGCUUAAACAUGCAUUUAUUUCCAAUACACUUUUUGAGUUGAGAACAAAAGCCCAAAGAAGUAGAAAUGUGUUUUCACACAACUGAAAUACUAACACGUAUACACACAUUUCUUUAUAAACACUAAAAAAUAAAACUUUUUCCAAGGCCUGUGUGUACUUAGGCAUGCAUUCGUUAAUCUCAGAGACCAUCAAGUGCUACUGGCUUCCCACUAACUUUGUCUCUCACAGUUGACAGGAUGAUGCCUGCAAGACCUCCUCAGCCAUCUCUUCUUCACAAUGGAAGGGAAGCAGCUUCUGUGGCACGGCAUCAGGUAUGGGGAGCAAAUCAGUACGGGGAGAGCGUUGGGGAAAACCAGGAUGCCUCUGUCCCCCGCUCCUUACCUCCCUAGACCUGAAUUAAUUGUUUUUUCUUAGUAGCUGUAGUAUUGCUUAUGAAUUUAAACAACGCUUAAUGCUAACAUAGGCUUCUAAACAGCUGACAACGUAGGAAAAGUGUUUACAGAAAGAAUAAGCUUGAAACAGCGAUCAUUAAAACACGCAAUGAAACACGCCUUAAAACACCCAUAAUUAAAAUGCUCAGCACGAUAAUGGCAUUAAAAAACACAGCAAUUAAUAGACAAUGAACAACAGUAAUGAGCAGCAGGUAAUCCAUAUGCUUUCUCUGAGGUGGAAACAUUUCCUUUUUCUUUUAGAGUCCAGCAACCUUUGAGGAUGUGGCUAUACAUUUCACGGAUGAGGAGUGGGUAUUGCUGGAUCCCGACCAGAGAGCUCUGCAUACGGAAGUCAUGGAAGAGACCUGUGGCAUCAUGGUCUCUCUCGGUAAGUCUUUCUGUUGGGUCACAAGAACUGUUUUGAAAAUCGGAUGUGUGAUGAACCAAUGGUAUUGUGAUGGAAUUCAACCACGCCCCCUACAGCGCAGGUGGCGCUGUGUUCUAAACCACUGAGCCUCUUGGGCUUGCUGAUCAGAAGGUCAACAGUUCGAAUCCCCGCAACGGGGUGAGCUCCUGUUGCUCUGUCCCAGCUCCUGCCAACCUAGCAGUUUGAAAGCAUGCCAGUGCAAGUAGAUAAAUAGGUACCGCUGCUGUGGGAAGGUAAGCAGCAUUUCUGUGCGCUCUGGUUUCCAUCACUGCGGACAAACGCCAACUCCCUCGGCCUGCAAGUGGAGAUGAGCGCCACAACCCCAUAGUUGCCUUUGGCUGGACUUAAUCGUACGGGGGCCCAUUACCUUUAUUCUAAUGCCCCUGCAGUUAACCUGGAAUGGAAAAUGAUCAACCGUUUUGUUUCUGAAUAUGAUGAUGAUGAUGAUGAUAAUUUAUUACUUGUACCCCACCCAUCUGACUAGGUUUCCCCAGCCACUUCCUACAUAAUAUAAAGCAGACACGUACCACAGGUCAAUUGCAAUUGACUGGUCGAUUAUGGGGGCGUUCAGGGUCGAUCUUGGUAUUUAGUAAAGUGAUCGCCUGGAUGGUCCUUAUCGAUCUCCUAAAGCUCAACAAUUCCUGGCAAUGUGCAAUUAGGCAAAUCUCCAGGACCGGAUGGGCUGACUUCUAGAUAUUAUAGAUCCUUGAAAGAGUGGUUAGUACAACCUUUAAAGGAAGUCUGCAAUGAAAUAUUGGAAGGGAAAAGGGCACCAGAGUCGUGGA